rnacentral:rRNA from 1 species
GGGCACCACCAGGGGGUGCAGCUGCGGCUUAUUUGACUCAACACGGGAAAUCUCACCAGGCCCGGACACCGGAAGGAUUGACAGAUUAACAGCUCUUUCUUGAUUCGGUGGGUGGUGGUGCAUGGCCGUUCUUAGUUGGUGGAGCGAUUUGUCUGGUUAAUUCCGGUAACGAACGAGACUCUAGCCUGCUAAAUAGGCGUCCCCAUUUAGGUGUGCUCGGCUUCCGUCGUGCAACUCACUGGCGACGUAUUAAAAUUCUUCUUAGAGGGACCGGCGGCUUCGAGCCGCACGAGAUUGAGCAAUAACAGGUCUGUGAUGCCCUUAAAUGACCUGGGCCGCACGCGCGCUACACUGAAGGAAUCA